UACGUAGGGGGCAAGCGUUGUCCGGAUUUAUUGGGCGUAAAGAGCUCGUAGGCGGCUUGUCGCGUCGACUGUGAAAUCCCGCGGCUCAACUGCGGGUCUGCAGUCGAUACGGGCAGGCUAGAGUUCGGUAGGGGAGACUGGAAUUCCUGGUGUAGCGGUGAAAUGCGCAGAUAUCAGGAGGAACACCGAUGGCGAAGGCAGGUCUCUGGGCCGAUACUGACGCUGAGACGCGAAAGCGUGGGGAGCGAACAGG
rnacentral:rRNA from 1 species